CACUAGAGUUAGGCAGUGGGUGAAUACCCAGAAAUGUCACUCACUAGCAACCAGACCCAGGGCAAGAAACUUUUCUCUGUCUCAGUUUCCUUUUUUGGAAAAUGGGCAUAUAUUUUUACAGAGGUGCUGUAAAGUAGUGCUCCCCAACCUUUUUGGAACCAGGGACUGGUUUCGUGGAAGACAAUUUUCCCAUGGACCAGGGGUGUGGGGGUGGGGGAAGGUUUCAGGAUGACUCAAGUGCAUUACUUUUAUUGUUCACUUUAUUCCUAUUAUUACAUUGUAAUAUAUAAUGAAAUAAUUAUACAACUCACCAAAAUGUAGAAUCAGUGGGAGCCCUGAGCUUGUUUUCCUACAACUAGUCAGUCACACCUGGGGGUGAUGGGAGACAGUGACAGAUCCUAAGGCAUAAGAUUCUCAUAAGCAGCAUGCAACCUAGACCCCUUCCAUGUGCAGUUCUAAAUAGAGUUUGCUAUGAGAAUCUAAUGCCGCCACUGAUUUGACAGCAGGUGGAGCUCAGGCAGUAAUGUGAGCAAGGGGGUGGGGGACGACUGUAAAUAGAGAUAAAGCUUCCCUCGCUCACCCAUCAUUCACCUCCUCCUGUGUGGCCCGGUUACUAAGAGUCCAGGACUGGUACCCAUCUGUGGCCCGGCAGGGGGGAGUGGUUGGGGACCCCUGCUGUAAAGCUUAAAUAUUUAUAAAGAUUGUAUAAUAUUUUCUAGCUCACAAUUGACUGUUAGCUAUUAUUAUUUCAUUAUUCUCUCAGCCUACUUUCACAGAGGCUCUCCAACACAGAGCUCCUCAAAACUUUUGACAAUACAGAUGAAUUACCUGGCAAUUGUGUUUAAAUUCAAUUUCUGAUUCAAAAAGUCUGCCGUGGGCCUAAGACUGCAUUUAUGAAAUCUUUUAGGGUAUGUCUGUGCUGCUGGUGCUCAGAUCACACUUUGAGAAGCAAGACUGUGGGACCCUCUGGGUCUGUUUCCUGCUAGUUCAGCCUUCUAGCUGGUGGAUUUGCACUAAUAGUAUGCCCCAACCUUCUCGUUAUACUCAUGGAAGCUCUUUCCUACAGUCAGACUGUCCUUACAUCCAGCAGCAUAUUCAUGAAAUUCUAAUUCCUGGGCUUAGCCAGUGACUCAGACCCUCCUUCUCCAGGUCUAAUGGAUGUCACUGUCAAUCACAAUGUCACCCUCAAAGGCCCACGGUCUAGCCUAGUCAGAGGGAACUGGAUGUACAGAAAGACAGGUAUAUGGAAGAAAUCUGGGGCUUUUUGAGGAUUUCAUUCAAAGCAGGAUGCAAAGGUUCAUAUACUUCAGGACUGGAGCCACUUGGGGGCCUUGGUCUCAGGAUGAUGUAUGUUAUGAUAACCCCCAGGACUAGAAUCCAUUAAUUCCCUUGAUCCAGCACUGUGCUCCAGCCCUGGGACAGGCUUAAAGUUUGUCCUGACCCAGUUCAUCUCAUCUGCCUGCCUGUACUUCUGUCAGCUGCCUGUGCCAGAUGUUUUAUUCCCCUCCUUCCACUUGUGAAGAAGCUCAAAACCUGCGAUGAGCUCUACUUCCUUCCAAGGCCAGUCUUGCCUUCACAUACCUCUUCCCCUUCUUCUCCCUGUACUCUCUCCACUGGGUCUCCCCACACUCUUGCCCCCCAGUCCUGUGCUUUGCUCUCCAUGUUGCUGAAGUUCACGUUCUUUCCUUCCAGAUUGUACCCUCAAUUCCUCUCAAUCGAUUUUGUGUUGCGUGACUACCAUACAGUAGGUAAUUCAUAAAGAAAAGAUAUUUAUAAAAUUUAUUCUCACAGCUCUGAAGUCUAGGAAGUCCAAUGUCAAGGUGCUGGCAUCUGGUGAGUGCCUUCAUGCUGUGUCAUCCCCAGGCAGAGGACAAGAGAGCAAAAGAGAAGGAGAUGGCCAAACUUGCUUUUAUAACAAACCCACUCUCAUGAUAACUAACCUACUCCUGCAAUAAUGACAUUAUUCUAUUCAUGAUGGUGAAGCCUUCAUGGCUUAAUCACCUCUUAAUGGUCCCACCUCUUAAUACCAUCACAAUGGCCAUUACAUUUCAACACAAGUUUUGGAAGUGCAGUGUUUUGAUUAUUUGUCCCCUUCAAAAAGUAUGUUGAAAAGUCUCAAUGUAGCAGUAUUAAUAGGUGGGGCCUUUAAGAGGUCAGUGAGUCAUGCGGGUUCUGCCUUCAUGAGAUUAAUCCAUACAUGAAUUAAUGGAUUAAUGGGCUAUCACAGGAAUGAGUCUGUUUAAAAGCCAGCGUGGCUCUCAUUUUCACACCCUUGCCAUGUGAUGUCUUGAGCCAUACUGGGAUUCUCCAGAGAGUCCCCACCAGCAAGAAGGCCUUCGCCAGAUGUGGCCACUCAACCUUGGAUUUCCUCAGAACUGUAAGAAAUGAAUUUAUUUUCUUUAUAAAUUAUCCAGUCUCAGUUAUUCAAUUUUAGCAACAGAAAACAGAGUAAGGCAGGAGGGGGACAUUCAAACCACAGCAUUCCAACCACGGCCCCCCCAAAACUAAUGUUUUUCUGACAUACAAAAUGCAUUCAUUCUAUCUUGAUGCCCCAGAAGUCUUAACUCAUUUCAGCAUCAACUCAAAAGUCCAAAGCCCAGAGUCCCAUCUGAAUUAGAAAUCGGGGAGACUCAAGGCAUGAUUCAUGCUGAGGCAAAUUCCUCUCCAGCUAUAAACUGUGAAAUUAACAAGCUACAUGCUUCCAAAAUACAAUGGUGGGACAGACAUAAGAUAGACAUUCCCAUUCCAAAAGGGAAGAAUAAGCAAGAAGAAAGAGAUAAUCUGCUUUGACUCCAUGUCCUGGGCACUCUGGGGCAGGAGUUGGGUUCCCAGGAACUCAGGCAUCCUUGCUCCUAUGGCUUUGCUGAGUUCAGUCUACCUAGCAGGUCUCACGGGUUGGAGUGUGGCACCAGCAGCUCUCCCAGGUUAAUAUUUCAAGCUGGUAGCUCUACAGUUCUGGGGUCUCAGAAAUGACCCUGGCUCCG
rnacentral:lncRNA from 10 species